rnacentral:misc_RNA from 1 species
GGAAGUAAAAUCGUAACAAGGUUUCCGUAGGGAACCUGCGGAAGGAUCAUUACCUAGAGUUGUAGGCUUUGCCUGCUAUCUCUUACCCAUGUCUUUUGAGUACCUUACGUUUCCUCGGUGGGUUCGCCCACCGAUUGGACAAACUUAAACCCUUUGCAGUUGAAAUCAGCGUCUGAAAAAACUUAAUAGUUACAACUUUCAACAACGGAUCUCUUGGUUCUGGCAUCGAUGAAGAACGCAGCGAAAUGCGAUAAGUAGUGUGAAUUGCAGAAUUCAGUGAAUCAUCGAAUCUUUGAACGCACAUUGCGCCCCUUGGUAUUCCAUGGGGCAUGCCUGUUCGAGCGUCAUUUGUACCUUCAAGCUCUGCUUGGUGUUGGGUGUUUGUCUCCUGUAGACUCGCCUUAAAACAAUUGGCAGCCGGCGUAUUGAUUUCGGAGCGCAGUACAUCUCGCGCUUUGCACUCAUAACGACGACAUCCAAAAGUACAUUUUUACACUCUUGACCUCGGAUCAGGUAGGGAUACCCGCUGAACUUAAGCAUAUCAAUAA